AUUUGGACAUGGCCGCUCCCAGCCAUAGACAGUAAAAGAAGCUGAGUGUUCUAAGCAUGAGUCACGGCAGAACAUUAGGAAUAUUAUUUUGUUCGAGAGCCAAGCGUUAACUCGCAGAAAAAAAGGGUCUAUUUUGCUGUGUGCAGGAGAGCGAGAAGUGGACGAUGCUUGUGUGUUCACUGGGAACUUUCUGACAGACUACUGUAUUUGAAGUCUCCCGUUCCUGGAAACCUCUGUCACACUUUCACCCCGCGAUCAUGCAGCUGGAUCCUGUGCUGGUUGAAUCCGGCGUGGUGUUUGGCAUGGUUUUUUCCGUUCACUAUGCCGUGUGGAACCAGCUGUCCUGGUGUUGCAUCGCUCUGGCCAUCCAGGCUUUUUAUGUGCAGCACAAAUGGGAUCGGCUCAUUCGGACCGGCGCCGCCGUGUUCCAGUUCCGGCCUUCGGCUAACAGCGGAGUGUUACCGGCCAGCAUGGUGCUGCCGCUGCUGGGACUGGCUUUGAGGGGACGCUGCAUCGCUGUGGGGAACGUUUACAUGGAGCGAUUCGCAAUGGUCAUAACAGUGAUCGGUAUGAUGCUGGCACUGUUCCUAUCGCUCAUCGCUUUGGGAAUCACGCGCCCGGUGCCCACAAACACCUGCGUUAUAGCCGGCAUCGCCAGCAGCGCCAUUCUGUACACAGUCAAGCAAACACUAACAGUCUCCGAGGUGAUCGAAGUCUUGGAGGUGUUGCUUAUUUUUGUGUAUUUAAGCUUAAUCCUCUUGUAUCUCCUCCCUCGCUGCUUCACUCCCGGCGAAGCCCUCCUCAUCCUCGGCGGGAUCAGUUUCAUCAUCAAGCAGCUCAUCAAGCGCUCCCUGGCGUCGUCCGGGAACGGGAACGCCGACCCACUCAUGUAUUUCCUGCCAGUCGCCGUGUUAGGCUUAGUGCUGCUGGGAAUCUUCUUCGCCGUGCUUUUCGUAUUCAUGGAAUCGGAAACUUGGUCAGCGUCGCUUUUCUUCCACACCAUGACGGCUGUUUUGGGAUUGGGCCUAUUGGUUCCAUGGCUUACCCUGCUCACGCAGCAUCACCCCAUCACCUGGUUUUUACAUUUCAUCACCGAAACCAACACUCGCCUCUGGCUGAUUGGAUUCUGGGCCGCUUUGUUGCUUCUAGCAGUUGGUGUUGUGAUGCAUCAAAAUAGUCAUCGCUCCGCCGGAAGCAAGAAGCACCAAGCAUCGACGACCGUGCGAAAGUACUUCCACUUCCUAACCGUGCUAACCUUCGUACCCGGACUCGCUCUAGACCGUCCUCUUCUUCAGCUAGCCUCAGUCGUAUGCCUAUCCGCGUUAUUGUUCCUCGAAUUCGUCCGCUAUUUCCGCAUCCGACCACUCGGACCACCCUUGCGAAACCUUCUUACUUUAUUCCUGGAUGAGAGAGACUCAGGACCGCUUAUUCUCACCCAUAUCUACCUUCUCCUUGGCGUCGCCCUUCCAGUCUGGCUCACGCCCGCAUCCUGCACCCCUAAAGGAGGCCUAGGGGGCGCCGGUGGCCUGGUGCCAUACGCCGGUGUGUUGGCAGUAGGGGUCGGUGACACCGUGGCAUCUGUUUUCGGGAGCGCAGUCGGCGAGAUCCGCUGGCCUGGCACUAAGAAGACCUUCGAGGGCACGGCGACCUCCGUGUUCGCUCAGAUCAUCGCCGUGGUGGUUUUCCUCAUCGCUGACAGCAGUAUAAACCUGAACGCCAGCUACUCGUGGGUCGUGGGCUCAAUCACAAUGGUGGCCAUGCUGGAGGCGUAUACUUUGCAGAUAGACAACCUGCUGCUCCCUCUGUACCUCUACAUCCUCCUGCUGCUUUGAGAUCAGACCCAUCACAGAUCAUACCAUUAUGCCAAUGCACAGAUAUUAACAGCAUUAAAUUCAGACGGUACAGCCCUAGUAUUGUGAGUUUGCAAAGCAGAAUGCAAUAAUGAAACGUCAUUAGAGUGUUUAUGACCCUUGUACAGUGAAUAGAAAUGUGGUGAAUGUGGUUUCUUAUAGUAUUAGAGUGAAGCAAACUAGAAAAGUACUUGAUAUUGUAAACAACAUACAAAAUGGCACAAAAUCAAAUGUCUGAUGGUGAAAUUUUCAUGUUUUUUUUAUUUGAAAACAGAGUUUUGUGCCGCUGUUGGUAGCUUUAAAGGGAUAUUCCUUCCAAAAAAUUAUUAAACCCAUUCCAAACCCAUAUGAAUUUCUUUCUUCAGCCAAACACAGAAGAUAGAACACAGGUUUCAGAUCCCAUUGACUUCUAUAGUAUUUAUUUUCCUUACUAUGGGAGCCAGAACAGAACCCUUUAAAUAUUCUUCUUUUACAUUUUUAAGGUUUACAGGUGAUAAAUAUGUUGUUUUGAGUGUUUUUUUUGUGUGUGUGUGUGUGUGUGUGUGUGUGUGUGUGUGGUACUUAACUUCUGUGUCAAUGUCUACUUUUUCAAAAAACAAUGCCAAGUGAAUAUGACUUCAUUUUAUGAAAACGAUUUUGAACUUGGUCACAUUAACUGAUAAAUCUGGUAGUGUUUAGUGCAUAAUGCAAUGUGAAUUUUUUGACUAAAUCUACUUAAAAAUGUUAUUUUUAAAUCACAAUCGGGCAAUUUGCAUAUAUCCAAUUACCAGAAAUCAAACCACUUGAUCACCAUAAUUGAUGAAAAACAAGCUUGAGCCAGACAGAGGAACUCU